rnacentral:rRNA from 1 species
GGUGGCAAGCGUUUAUCCGGGAACUUAUUGGGCGUAAAGCGCGCGUAGGCGCUUUUGUAAGGUCUGAUGUGAAAGCCCACGGCUCAACCGUGGAGGGUCAUUGGAAACUGGAAACUUGAGUGCAGAAGAGGAAAGUGGAAUUCCAUGUGUAGCGGUGAAAUGCGCAGAGAUAUGGAGGAACACCAGUGCGAAGGCGACUUUCUGUCUGUAACUGACGCUGAUGUGCGAAGCGUGGGGAUCAAACAAGGAUUAGAUACACUGGUAGUCAAGGGUGAAAC